CUUUUUCCUCUGGAGACUGGGGAGCAACAGACUUCGGGGCUCUGACUCGUUCCCAGCCACACCCGUGGCCACAUCAGCUGCCACGACAGGAGCACGAAAGACGUACGGACUUUAGAACUGCGUCUACCUACGUCCUGGUCCUUUCUACCUGGCUCUGUGACUUUGGGCGAAUCUCCCACUAAUUCCCGAGGAAAGCUACUUCUUGUAAGAUUUGCCAGAGAACACGAAUAUCUUUGUCGAGGGCUUGGCGCUUGUUCCCAUCCCGGGAACAGCAUUUCUUGGCCCUCCACACCCCCUUUCUAGCCGAGGUCUAACUACCUAUAUGCUCACAGUUGGAAUGUCUUACUUGCUCAGUUAAUGUCAGCCUUGUUUGUUUUUGCAUAAUGACAUCAAAACUCGGUGGUACACGCAAAGAGAUCUACCACUGCUACACCACCCAGCUUCAAAUGUUCUCUUUAUCUGAGCCUGAACGCCUAAAGAACGGACCACCUUCAUAAGCUCGGUGCCAUUGCAAACCUGCUCCGUCAUCUAUCAGACACUAGCGGAUGGGCAAUGCGCUUAAUACUACCACGGGCCAGCAGAGGGCAGAUGGUGACCAGUCUUCUCACCCAGUCACACUUUCUUACCACCCAACAAUCUCAAGAGCAAGACAAGUGAGCAGAUUUGUAGGCAAUAAACCCAAGGGGCCAGGGCCAGCCAGGAACGGCUUUGAAUCUGUUCAAAGCCUCCCCUGAUGAUUCAAAGACCUCUCAAACUACCUGUAUGGAUGAUCCCUGCAAACAAGAUGUGCUAGAAAACCCCAGGAACAUUAUUUUGGCGUAGGUUUUAACUAAGAUCUCAGUGACUGUUGUGUUGACUACAGGCUGGAAUGAAGGAGAACAGGUCUGGCUGUCCUGGAACUCACUCUGUAUACCAGACUAGCCUCUAAUGCACCGAGAUCCACUUGUCUCUGCCUCUGCUGGGAUCAAAACUGUGCACCACUACCACCUGGAGAGUUUAACUGAGCAGUUUGGGAAGGGUAAUCAGCAUUCCAAGGUCUCUCAUACAAAAUGUUCUUGUCAACUUGAAAAGAGCUUUUAUUCUCUCAUUGUCAUUCAGAUAUAAUCUCUUUUGUAAUUUUUCUACCAUCAGAGAUUACUUGUUUUCCCUAAAAUUCUAUAUACCAGAAUUAUAUAUAUUUUCUUUUCUAAGAUUCGUUUGUUUAAUAAGAUUUUGAGUUCAAUCUGAUAUAUCAAGUAAAUAUUAUUUUUUAUUGCUAAGUAGUGUUCCACUGCAUACUUACCACAGCCUGUCCAUUCUCAUGUUGACUGACCAUGUGUUCAGGUACUGGCUACUUUAAAAUUGAGGCUUGUCAGUUUGUAGCUGUUUCACAGAGCUCAGCAUGCCAUCUGCUUCCCUUUUCCUGCCUGGUGAGGCUUGCAAACCUGGCAUUUGUCUUGCAAUAAAGGGUUGGUUUUCAGACACAUAAAAUAAGGACCACCACAGAAAGCAGAGAACAAAACUGAAGUUGCAGAUGGCCACAUCAGCAAUUCAGCUAUUAAACACCAAAUAGCAGCCUUCAAGUCAGUGAGAAACUCCAUUUAC
ensembl:antisense